rnacentral:rRNA from 1 species
AGAGUUUGAUCCGGGCUCAGAAUGAACGCUAGUAGUAUGCUUAACACAUGCAAGUCGAACGGACGAAAGUUCGUGGCGAACGGGUGAGUAUUCGUAGAAUUUUCCCUUUCAGUUCAGGACAAAAAUUUACUUGAUUAAAUUAAAAAUACUGAAUAUUUUAAAGGUUAACUUCGCUGAAAGAUAAAUCUGCAUAAGAUUAGGUUGUUGGUAAGUUAAAAGCUUACCAAGCCUGUGAUCUUUAGUUGGUCUUAGAGGAUGAUCAACCACACUGGAACUGAAAUAAGGUCCAGGCUGACAUGUCGGCCAGCAGUGAGGAAUAUUGGACAAUGAACGCAAGUUUGAUCCAGCAAUACUAACUGGGUGAUGACGGCUUAUUUAAGUUGAAAGAUCCUUUAAUUAAAGAUGAUAAUGACACUAUUUAAUUGAAUUUUAGUCCUGGCUAAUACUCGUGCCAGCAGCCGCGGUAAUACGGGAAGGGCAAGCGUUAUUCGGCAUGACUGGGCGUAAAGAGUCCGUAGGCUGUAAAGUAAGUUCUUUGUCAAAUUUUAAAACCUAAUUUUAAACUAGCAAUUAAUACUGCUUUACUUUGAGUUUAAUACAGAAAAGUAGAAUUUUAUACGACAGGGGUGAAAUCCGUAGAUAUAUAAAGGAAUGCCCAUAGCGAAGGCAACUUUUUAGUAUAAACUGACGCUGAGGGACGAAAGCGUGGGUAGCAAACAGGAUUAGAUACCCUGGUAG